GUCAAUCUUCAAAUUUUUGAACGCAAACUGCACUUUCUGGGAGUCCGGAAAGUAUGCAUGUUUGAGAGUCAGUUAAAUAAAAAUCGGGGUUGUUGCUGCCUUUCGUGGUGACGCAUCGGAAUUGGGUCGACUUACCUUCGGUUAACUGACUUAAAAUUGUUUCAUAAUUUUCGUACGUAUUUAAAUCUCUUACGUACGUUUGAGAUAUCUAAUGCUUAUUAGGCUCGUGCAUUCCCAUGAUUCGCGCCUAUAAUUUUUCAUUAAAUGACCUCAAAUCAGUUAAGAAUA
rnacentral:misc_RNA from 1 species